UCGAGGGGUAUAGUUCUUCGGAACUAGAGACCGGCGCACGGGUGCGUAACGCGUAUGCAAUCUACCUUUCACAGAGGGAUAGCCCAGAGAAAUUUGGAUUAAUACCUCAUAGUAUAAUGAGUUGGCAUCAACACAUUAUUAAAGUCACAACGGUGAAAGAUGAGCAUGCGUCCCAUUAGCUAGAUGGUAAGGUAACGGCUUACCAUGGCUACGAUGGGUAGGGGUCCUGAGAGGGAGAUCCCCCACACUGGUACUGAGACACGGACCAGACUCCUACGGGAGGCAGCAGUGAGGAAUAUUGGACAAUGGGCGCAAGCCUGAUCCAGCCAUGCCGCGUGCAGGAUGACGGUCCUAUGGAUUGUAAACUGCUUUUGUACAGGAAGAAACACUGGUUCGUGAACCAGCUUGACGGUACUGUAAGAAUAAGGAUCGGCUAACUCCGUGCCAGCAGCCGCGGUAAUACGGAGGAUCCAAGCGUUAUCCGGAAUCAUUGGGUUUAAAGGGUCCGUAGGCGGUUUAGUAAGUCAGUGGUGAAAGCCCAUCGCUCAACGGUGGAACGGCCAUUGAUACUGCUAAACUUGAAAUAUUAGGAAGUAACUAGAAUAUGUAGUGUAGCGGUGAAAUGCUUAGAGAUUACAUGGAAUACCAAUUGCGAAGGCAGGUUACUACUAAUGGAUUGACGCUGAUGGACGAAAGCGUGGGUAGCGAACAGGAUUAGAUACCCUGGUAGUCCACGCCGUAAACGAUGGAUACUAGCUGUUGGAAGCAAUUUCAGUGGCUAAGCGAAAGUGAUAAGUAUCCCACCUGGGGAGUACGU
rnacentral:rRNA from 1 species